rnacentral:sRNA from 1 species
GACACUGUCCCAGCUGCCACCUAGACUCGGAGCUCCCUCCAAACCUCCAGCGAAGACAUCCCAGCCAUGGCCAUGCAGAAAAUCUUUGCCCGGGAAAUCUUGGACUCCAGGGGCAACCCCACGGUGGAGGUGGACCUGCACACGGCCAAGGGCCGAUUCCGAGCAGCUGUGCCCAGUGGGGCUUCCACGGGUAUCUAUGAGGCUCUGGAACUAAGAGACGGAGACAAAGGCCGCUACCUGGGGAAAGGUGAGGAGACACCAGUGCAGAAGGAGCCUGUGUGGGUGGCUUUAGGACAUGGGUGCCCAAUGGGUAGAGGACUGGAACCCCCAAGGCUCUUGAGGAGCCGGGGUCCACAGAAAGAGGCCCAGUUGAUUGAGAUCCAAAACUCAUCCUCUGGCCUGUCUAGGAGUCCUGAAGGCUGUGGAGAACAUCAACAAUACUCUGGGCCCUGCUCUGCUGCAAAAGGCAAGUGGGGAAGCCCGCUCCCUGCAGCCUCCUCCCCAUGCCCCUGCUCCCUCAGCCCGGACAGGCUUCUCCCGUAACAUUUUCCCUUAUCCU